GACUGUUAUUACUUGUGGAGUUUCUUAUGCAUUUGACUUCCGGACCAGAUAUGGCAUUGACGUUGUUGGAAAAAUUCCUCUAGGAUACGAGCCUCCAGUCGCCCCAAGCCUUCAGGUCUUCCAGCACACGGCGAUGGAUGCUUUCCCAAUGGCUAUAGUGGGUUUUGCUGUGGCCUUUUCUGUGGCAAAAGUCUAUUCUAUAAAACAUGAUUACACAAUAGAUGGAAACCAGGAGCUGAUCGCCUUUGGAGUUAGCAAUAUCUUUGGAGCAUCCUUCAAGGCCUUCGCAGCAAGUACAACACUUUCCCGGAGUGCGGUGCAAGAAAGUACAGGAGGAAAA